rnacentral:rRNA from 1 species
AGCAGCCGCGGUAAUUCCAGCUCCAAUAGCGUAUAUUAAAGUUGUUGCAGUUAAAAAGCUCGUAGUUGAAUUUCGGGGUUAGUAGGUCGGUCAUGCCUCAGGUAUGCACUGGUCUCACUGAUUCCUCCUUCCUGAUGAGCCGUAAUGCCAUUAAUUUGGUGUUGCGGGGAAUCUGGACUGUUACUUUGAAAAAAUUGAGUGUUUGAAGCAGGCUAACGCUUGAAUACAUUAGCAUGGGAUAAUGGAAUAGGACGUUCGAUCCUAUUUUGUUGGUUUCUAGGAUUGACGUAAUGAUUAAUAGGGAUAGUUGGGGGCAUUAGUAUUCAAUUGUCAGAGGUGAAAUUCUUGGAUUUUAUUGAAAGACUAACUACUGCGAAAGCAUUUGCCAAGGAUGUUUUCAUUAAUCAAGAACGAAAGUUAGGGAUCGAAGACGAUCAGAUACCGUCGUAG